AACGAACGCUGGCGGCAUGCCUAACACAUGCAAGUCGAACGAGACCUUCGGGUCUAGUGGCGCACGUGUGCGUAACGCGUGGGAACCUGCCCUUAGGUUCGGAAUAACUCCCCGAAAGGGGUGCUAAUACCGGAUAAUGUCUUCGGACCAAAGAUUUAUCGCCUUGGGAUGGGCCCGCGUUGGAUUAGCCAGUUGGUAGGGUAAAAGCCUACCAAGGAGACGAUCCAUAGCUGGUCUGAGAGGAUGAUCAGCCACACUGGGACUGAGACACGGCCCAGACUCGUACGGGAGGCAGCAGUGGGGAAUAUUGGACAAUGGGGGAAAGCGUGAUCAAGCAAUGCCGCGUGAGUGAGGAAGGCCUUAGGGUUGUAAAGCUCUUUUAGCCGGGAUGAUAAUGACAGUACCGGGAGAAUAAGCACCGGCUAACUACGUG
rnacentral:rRNA from 1 species